rnacentral:rRNA from 1 species
AGAGUUUGAUCCUGGCUCAGGACGAACGCUGGCGGCGCGCUUAACACAUGCAAGUCGAGCGAGAACCAGUCCUUCGGGACUGGGGACAGCGGCGAACGGGUGAGUAACACGUGGGUAAUCUGCCCUCGGCACCGGAAUAGCCCGGGGAAACCCGGAUUAAUGCCGGAUGGCCUCUCUGCCCUACGGGGCGGCGAGAAAAGGUAGCUUCGGCCUCCGGCCGAGGAUGAGCCCGCGGCCGAUUAGCUUGUUGGUGAGGUAACGGCUCACCAAGGCGACGAUCGGUAGCUGGUCUGAGAGGACGAUCAGCCACACUGGGACUGAGACACGGCCCAGACUCCUACGGGAGGCAGCAGUGGGGAAUCUUGCGCAAUGGGCGAAAGCCUGACGCAGCGACGCCGCGUGCGGGAAGAAGGCCUUCGGGUUGUAAACCGCUUUCAGGAGGGACGAAGCCACUCGGGUAAAUAGCCUAGAGGGUGACGGUACCUCCAGAAGAAGCCCCGGCUAACUACGUGCCAGCAGCCGCGGUA